UACAGAGGUCUCAAGCGUUGUUCGGAUUCAUUGGGCGUAAAGGGUGCGUAGGUGGCGCGCUAAGUCAGGUGUGAAAUUUCGGAGCUUAACUCCGAAACUGCAUUUGAUACUGGCGUGCUUGAGGACUGGAGAGGAGACUGGAAUUCACGGUGUAGCAGUGAAAUGCGUAGAUAUCGUGAGGAACACCAGUGGCGAAGGCGGCGAUCUGGGAAGAUACUGACGCUGAGGUGCGAAAGCGUGGGGAGCAAACAGG
rnacentral:rRNA from 1 species